UGUUACCUGGAUCCUAAGCCUGGUCGCAGCUGUCAUGAUUUCGUCAUAAGGUACUACUACUCGCCUACACAUAAAGAAUGUUUCCCCUUCCUCUACGGAGGCUGCGAUGGAAACGAAAACAAGUUUUAUUCCAAAGAGAGGUGUGAAAUGGUUUGUUUAUGGAGAUACCUAAGUGGUCAACCAUGAGGUACUUAUCAAACUCAAAGCUAACAUUACAGAUGAAAAAAUUAUGAUCGGUAAUUCACUGAACGUCACAACUAGGAUUUCAAAAUAAAUAUAUUUUUUUAUUAUAAUA